UCCUAGUCUUAAUUAACACUAACCCUGGUAGACAGUACAGUGUUUAAUGGCUGGUGGUCCAUCCUAGUCUUAAUUAACACUAACCCUGGUAGACAGUACAGUGUUUAAUGGCUGGUGGUCCAUCCUAGUCUUAAUUAACACUAACCCUGGUAGACAGUACAGUGUUUAAAGAGUUGGACUACAGACACCUCUACUCCUAAAAGGUAUUUGUUCUACAUGUAAAGAGUUGGACUACAGACACCUCUAUUCCUAAAAGGUAUUUGUUCUACAUGUAAAGAGUUGGACUACAGACACCUCUAUUCCUAAAAGGUAUUUGUUCUACAUAUAAAGAGUUGGACUACAGACACCUCUAUUCCUAAAAGGUAUUUGUUCUACAUGUAAAGAGUUGGACUACAGACACCUCUAUUCCUAAAAGGUAUUUGUUCUACAUGUAAAGAGUUGGACUACAGACACCUCUAUUCCUAAAAGGUAUUUGUUCUACAUAUAAAGAGUUGGACUACAGACACCUCUAUUCCUAAAAGGUAUUUGUUCUACAUGUAAAGAGUUGGACUACAGACACCUCUAUUCCUAAAAGGUAUUUGUUCUACAUAUAAAGAGUUGGACUACAGACACCUCUAUUCCUAAAAGGUAUUUGUUCUACAUGUAAAGAGUUGGACUACAGACACCUCUAUUCCUAAAAGGUAUUUGUUCUACAUGUAAAGAGUUGGACUACAGACACCUCUAUUCCUAAAAGGUAUUUGUUCUACAUGUAAAGAGUUGGACUACAGACACCUCUAUUCCUAAAAGGUAUUUGUUCUACAUGUAAAGAGUUGGACUACAGACACCUCUAUUCCUAAAAGGUAUUUGUUCUACAUAUAAAGAGUUGGACUACAGACACCUCUAUUCCUAAAAGGUAUUUGUUCUACAUGUAAAGAGUUGGACUACAGACACCUCUAUUCCUAAAAGGUAUUUGUUCUACAUAUAAAGAGUUGGACUACAGACACCUCUAUUCCUAAAAGGUAUUUGUUCUACAUGUAAAGAGUUGGACUACAGACACCUCUAUUCCUAAAAGGUAUUUGUUCUACAUAUAAAGAGUUGGACUACAGACACCUCUAUUCCUAAAAGGUAUUUGUUCUACAUGUAAAGAGUUGGACUACAGACACCUCUAUUCCUAAAAGGUAUUUGUUCUACAUAUAAAGAGUUGGACUACAGACACCUCUAUUCCUAAAAGGUAUUUGUUCUACAUGUAAAGAGUUGGACUACAGACACCUCUAUUCCUAAAAGGUAUUUGUUCUACAUAUAAAGAGUUGGACUACAGACACCUCUAUUCCUAAAAGGUAUUUGUUCUACAUGUAAAGAGUUGGACUACAGACACCUCUAUUCCUAAAAGGUAUUUGUUCUACAUAUAAAGAGUUGGACUACAGACACCUCUAUUCCUAAAAGGUAUUUGUUCUACAUGUAAAGAGUUGGACUACAGACACCUCUAUUCCUAAAAGGUAUUUGUUCUACAUAUAAAGAGUUGGACUACAGACACCUCUAUUCCUAAAAGGUAUUUAUUCCACAUUGGUCAUGGUGUCAGUGAAGAAUGGAAUGUUGUUGCCGAUUUGACUUUAUUGGGAGAAGUAAACCCACAUGGACCCGGAACAGUGCAGGACCCCUCAGAUCCCAUAACCACCACAGCUAGUGGGAGGCAGAAUGCUCCUAACACUGUGGUUAUUCCUGCUCUCU